GGAAUAUGAGAUUCAGGGGAGAGCUUCUAACUCAGCCCCUAAGCGAUGGAACUUCGUUUAUAUUUCU
rnacentral:tRNA from 1 species